rnacentral:rRNA from 1 species
GCCAAAGCCAUAUAAUGUUGGUGCCUGGCUUACCUUUGCCAGGAGCCUGUUCUUCUGCUUGGAUGGGAAUCCACCUGGGAGUACCAGGUGCUGUAGGCU